CCCGGGCCUUGUACACACCGCCCGUCACGUCAUGAAAGUCGGCAACACCCGAAGCCGGUGGCCUAACCCUUGUGGAGGGAGCCGUCGAAGGGUGGGGCUGGCGAUUAGGACG
rnacentral:rRNA from 1 species